UACGAGGGGGGCAAAUGUUGUUCGGAAUCACUGGGCGUAAAGGGAGCGUAGGCGGGUUUUUAAGUCAGGUGUUUAAUCCCGGGGCCCAACCCCGGACAGGCACUUGAAACUGGGAAUCUUGAAUAGUGGAGAGGUCGGUGGAAUUGGGGGUGUAGCGGUGGAAUGCGUAGAGAUCGGCAGGAACACCCAGGGGGAAACCAGCCGGCUGGGGACGAGCUGACGCUCAGGGGCGAAAGCGUGGGGAGCGAACCGG
rnacentral:rRNA from 1 species